rnacentral:rRNA from 1 species
GACGAACGCUGGCGGCGUGCUUAACACAUGCAAGUCGAACGGUAAGGCUCCAGCUUGCUGGGGUACACGAGUGGCGAACGGGUGAGUAACACGUGGGUGACCUGCCCUGCACUUCGGGAUAAGCCAGGGAAACUGGGUCUAAUACCGGAUAGGACUGCACCGUGAGGGUGUGGUGGAAAGUUUUUUCGGUGUGGGAUGGGCCCGCGGCCUAUCAGCUUGUUGGUGGGGUAAUGGCCUACCAAGGCGGCGACGGGUAGCCGGCCUGAGAGGGUGGACGGCCACAUUGGGACUGAGACACGGCCCAGACUCCUACGGGAGGCAGCAGUGGGGAAUAUUGCACAAUGGGCGGAAGCCUGAUGCAGCGACGCCGCGUGGGGGAUGACGGCCUUCGGGUUGUAAACUCCUUUCACCAUCGACGAAGGGUUUCUGACGGUAGAUGGAGAAGAAGCACCGGCUAACUACGUGCCAGCAGCCGCGGUAAUACGUAGGGUGCGAGCGUUGUCCGGAAUUACUGGGCGUAAAGAGCUCGUAGGUGGUUUGUCGCGUCGUCUGUGAAAUUCCGGGGCUUAACUCCGGGCGUGCAGGCGAUACGGGCAUAACUUGAGUACUGUAGGGGAGACUGGAAUUCCUGGUGUAGCGGUGAAAUGCGCAGAUAUCAGGAGGAACACCGGUGGCGAAGGCGGGUCUCUGGGCAGUAACUGACGCUGAGGAGCGAAAGCAUGGGGAGCGAACAGGAUUAGAUACCCUGGUAGUCCAUGCCGUAAACGGUGGGCGCUAGGUGUGGGUUUCCUUCCACGGGAUCCGUGCCGUAGCUAACGCAUUAAGCGCCCCGCCUGGGGAGUACGGCCGCAAGGCUAAAACUCAAAGGAAUUGACGGGGGCCCGCACAAGCGGCGGAGCAUGUGGAUUAAUUCGAUGCAACGCGAAGAACCUUACCUGGGCUUGACAUAUACAGGAUCGCGCCAGAGAUGGUGUUUCCCUUGUGGCUUGUAUACAGGUGGUGCAUGGUUGUCGUCAGCUCGUGUCGUGAGAUGUUGGGUUAAGUCCCGCAACGAGCGCAACCCUUGUCUUAUGUUGCCAGCACGUUGUGGUGGGGACUCGUAAGAAACUGCCGGGGUUAACUCGGAGGAAGGUGGGGAUGACGUCAAAUCAUCAUGCCCCUUAUGUCCAGGGCUUCACACAUGCUACAAUGGUUGGUACAGUGGGUUGCCAGUCCGUGAGGGCGAGCUAAUCCCGCAAAGCCGGUCUCAGUUCGGAUCGGGGUCUGCAACUCGACCCCGUGAAGUCGGAGUCGCUAGUAAUCGCAGAUCAGCAACGCUGCGGUGAAUACGUUCCCGGGCCU